rnacentral:rRNA from 1 species
UACGUAGGGUGCAAGCGUUAAUCGGAAUUACUGGGCGUAAAGCGUGCGCAGGCGGUUAUGUAAGACAGGUGUGAAAUCCCAGGGCUUAACCUUGGAACUGCAUUUGUGACUGCAUAGCUAGAGUACGGUAGAGGGGGAUGGAAUUCCGCGUGUAGCAGUGAAAUGCGUAGAUAUGCGGGAGGAACACCGAUGGCGAAGGCAAUCCCCCUGGACCUGUACUGAC